UACAGAGGUCUCAAGCGUUGUUCGGAUUCAUUGGGCGUAAAGGGUGCGUAGGUGGCGCGGUAAGUCGGGUGUGAAAUCUCGGAGCUUAACUCCGAAAUUGCAUUCGAUACUGCCGUGCUCGAGGACUGGAGAGGAGACUGGAAUUCAUGGUGUAGCGGUGAAAUGCGCAGAUAUCAGGAGGAACACCGGUGGCGAAGGCGGGUCUCUGGGCCGUAACUGACGCUGAGGAGCGAAAGCGUGGGGAGCGAACAGG
rnacentral:rRNA from 1 species